GACGAACGCUGGCGGCGCGCCUAACACAUGCAAGUCGAACGAGCGAGAGAGAGCUUGCUUUCUCAAGCGAGUGGCGAACGGGUGAGUAACGCGUGAGGAACCUGCCUCAAAAAGGGGGACAACAGUUGGAAACGACUGCUAAUACCGCAUAAGCCCACAGGUCGGCAUCGACCAGAGGGAAAAGGAGCAAUCCGCUUUGAGAUGGCCUCGCGUCCGAUUAGCUAGUUGGUGAGGUAACGGCCCACCAAGGCAACGAUCGGUAGCCGGACUGAGAGGUUGAACGGCCACAUUGGGACUGAGACACGGCCCAGACUCCUACGGGAGGCAGCAGUGGGGAAUAUUGCACAAUGGGGGAAACCCUGAUGCAGCGACGCCGCGUGGAGGAAGAAGGUCUUCGGAUUGUAAACUCCUGUUGUUGAGGAAGAUAAUGACGGUACUCAACAAGGAAGUGACGGCUAACUACGUG
rnacentral:rRNA from 1 species